rnacentral:rRNA from 1 species
CCUACGGUGGGCAGCAGUGAGGAAUAUUGGUCAAUGGACGAGAGUCUGAACCAGCCAAGUAGCGUGAAGGAUGACUGCCCUAUGGGUUGUAAACUUCUUUUAUAUGGGAAUAAAAUGUUCCACGUGUGGGAUUUUGUAUGUACCAUAUGAAUAAGGAUCGGCUAACUCCGUACCAGCAGCCGCGGUAAUACGGAGGAUCCGAGCGUUAUCCGGAUUUAUUGGGUUUAAAGGGAGCGUAGGUGGGUUGUUAAGUCAGUUGUGAAAGUUUGCGGCUCAACCGUAAAAUUGCAGUUGAAACUGGCAGUCGUGAGUACAGUAGAGGUGGGCGGAAUUCGUGGUGUAGCGGUGAAAUGCUUAGAUAUCACGCAGAACUCCGAUUGCGAAGGCAACAUACCGGCGCGCAACUGACGCUCAUGCACGAAAGCGUGGGUAUCGAACAGGAUUAGAUACCCUAGUAGUC